rnacentral:rRNA from 1 species
AGUGAACGCUGGCGGUGGGCCUAACACAUGCAAGUCGAACGGCAGCACAGUAAGAGCUUGCUCUUACGGGUGGCGAGUGGCGGACGGGUGAGGAAUACAUCGGAAUCUACUUUUUCGUGGGGGAUAACGUAGGGAAACUUACGCUAAUACCGCAUACGACCUACGGGUGAAAGCAGGGGAUCUUCGGACCUUGCGCGAUUGAAUGAGCCGAUGUCGGAUUAGCUAGUUGGCGGGGUAAAGGCCCACCAAGGCGACGAUCCGUAGCUGGUCUGAGAGGAUGAUCAGCCACACUGGAACUGAGACACGGUCCAGACUCCUACGGGAGGCAGCAGUGGGGAAUAUUGGACAAUGGGCGCAAGCCUGAUCCAGCCAUACCGCGUGGGUGAAGAAGGCCUUCGGGUUGUAAAGCCCUUUUGUUGGGAAAGAAAAGCAGCAGGUUAAUACCCCGCCGUUCUGACGGUACCCAAAGAAUAAGCACCGGCUAACUUCGUG